rnacentral:rRNA from 1 species
GAUGAACGCUGGCGGCGUGCCUAAUACAUGCCAGUCGAGCGAACAGAUGAGGAGCUUGCUCCUCUGACGUUAGCGGCGGACGGGUGAGUAACACGUGGAUAACCUACCUAUAAGACUGGGAUAACUUCGGGAAACCGGAGCUAAUACCGGAUAAUAUAUUGAACCGCAUGGUUCAAUAGUGAAAGACGGUUUUGCUGUCACUUAUAGAUGGAUCCGCGCCGCAUUAGCUAGUUGGUAAGGUAACGGCUUACCAAGGCAACGAUGCGUAGCCGACCUGAGAGAGUGAUCGGCCACACUGGAACUGAGACACGGUCCAGACUCCUACGGGAGGCAGCAGUAGGGAACCUUCCGCAAUGGGCGAAAGCCUGACGGAGCAACGCCGCGUGAGUGAUGAAGGUCUUCGGAUCGUAAAACUCUGUUAUUGGGGAAGAACAAAUGUGUAAGUAACUAUGCACGUCUUGACGGUACCUAAUCAGAAAGCCACGGCUAACUACGUG